UGUACAAGUUCAUGCCCCUAGUAACUGGGCGAAACCGCGAAUGGCUCAUUAAAACAGUCAUAAUCUAUUUGAUGUUCAAAGUUAUAUGGAUAACUGUGGUAAUUCUAGAGCUAAUACAUGCACAAAAUAGGCAAAUGCGGGGCAACUCGCAGAAGCCUAGCGUUUAUUAGACUAAGACCAAUGAUUGCUAGCUUCGGCUUCAAUCUAAUUUAUGGUGACUCUGAAUAAAUAAUGGGUGAAAGCCCAUGAUGCCGACCCUCAUACAAGACUUCCGCAAGGAAGUUGAGGGCGAAUCAUUCGAGUGUCUGCUCUAUCAACUGUGGAUGGUAGGAUAUAUGCCUACCAUGGUGGUAACGGGUAACGGGGAGUUAGGGCUCGACUCCGGAGAACAAGCCUGAGAAACGGCUAGUAGGACUAAGGUCUGCAGCAGGCGCGAAACUUACACAAUGGGAGCACAUCCCUGAUGUAGUGAAGGAAAAUAACGAUGUAUCUCUCAUUACUGAGUGAUACAAUUGGAAUGAGACGACUGUAAAUAUGUUAGUCGAGUAACAAAUGGAGGGCAAGUCUGGUGCCAGCAGCCGCGGUAAUUCCAGCUCCAUUAGCGUAUAUUAAAGUUGUUGCGGUUAAAAAGCUCGUAGUUGAAAUUAGCUUGGUCUUUCACCACUCGCUUCCAUACAAAGGCUAUAGCACCUUUCGAGGACUAUAUGCCUGGUUGCGCUAGUGGACGAUAGGCCAAUGUUUCGCCACUUUAUACGAGUGCGAAGCGGGGCGUUAUAACGUUAAUCGUGCACUUGUGCACGUGCUAUAGCGCCAAGUUUACCUUGAGAAAAUUAGAGUGCUCACAGCAGGCAGUUUGGGUGUAAAAGCCCUUUGAACGCUUGAAUAAUGUUGCAUGGAAUAAUAGAAUACGGCCUCGGUUCUAUUCUGUUGGUCUUAUAGAACAACAAAAAAGUUGGUAAUUGCACUAACGCGUCUCAGUGCGUUGGUUCUGCCAGGUUUGCCAGUUUUGCUUACGUUUGGGCUUGUGUUGCGUAGACUUGCAAAAGUUUAGGGCCUCAGUUUUCAAGCAUAAGUAGCUAGCUUACACCUGGUGUUCCAUAAAAAGGCGCACUGUUGAUUGCAAGCAACCGCCAACUGAGGCAAUGGUUAAAAGAAAUAGUCGCGGCGGCAUCAGUACUGCAUCGCUAGAGGUGAAAUUCUUAGACCGAUGCAAGACUAACUGAAGCGAAAGCGUUUGCCGAGGAUGUUUUCAUUAAUCAAGAACGAAAGUUAGAGGUUCGAAGGCGAUCAGAUACCGCCCUAGUUCUAACCAUAAACGUUGCCAACUAGCAAUUGGCCUGAAUUCUAUUUUAACAAAUUGAAUGAUUCGGCCAGCGGCUCUAGGGAAACCAAAGUGUUUGGGUUCCGGGGGAAGUAUGAUUGCAAAGUUGAAACUUAAAGGAAUUGACGGAAGGGCACCACCAGGAGUGGAGCCUGCGGCUUAAUUUGACUCAACACGGGGAAACUUACUAGAUUAGAACACAGGAAUGAUUGACAGAUUGAUAGCUCUUUCUUGAUUCUGUGAGUGGUGGUGCAUGGCCGUUCUUGAUUCGUAGAUUGAUUCGUCUGCUUAAUUGCGAUAACGAGUGAGACCUCACUUUACUAACUAGUCGCUUGGUGCAUCUUUGACGCAAAAGUCUGUCUUGUUGCUGGGCGCGAGUGCGCGGUGUAAAAGCUGUUGCGCGCGUUCGUGAUAAGUUCAGAUGUCUUUGACUCGCCAGCGGACUUCUUAGAAAGAUAAACGGUGUUUUAGCCGUAAGAAACGAGGCAAUAACAGGUCUGUGAUGCCCUUAGAUACUCUAGGCCGCACGCGUGCUACAAUGGUGUGCGCAGAAAGCUUAUUCGAUAUCCGGCUAGAGAGAACUGCUAGUUUUGGGGCUCGUGUAGGGGUUCGCUUUUGCAUGGGUCUCGGAUUAGUAAGUGACUCUGGUAUUACGGGUUGAGAGAAACCUUGGCUGAAAAGUCAGGGCAAUCAAAAAUUCAUGCCGUGAUUUGGGAUUGGGGAUUGCAAUUGUUGUCCAUGAACGAGGAAUUCCCAGUAAGCGCAAUUCAUCAUAUUGCGUUGAUUACGUCCCUGCCCUUUGUACACACCGCCCGUCGCUACUACCGAUUGGAAGUUUUAGUGAGGCAUUUGGACCUGCCGCACGCCGAAAGUUUCGGCUUUCGUGUGCAGCGGGGAAGUCUGUCGAACUCAAAUUUCUAGAGGAAGUAAAAGUCGUAACAAGGUUUCCGU
rnacentral:rRNA from 1 species